GACAGAGGGGGCAAGCGUUGCUCGGAAUUACUGGGCGUAAAGCGCGCGCAGGCGGUCGUUCAAGUCGAGUGUGAAAGCCCCCGGCUCAACUGGGGAGGGUCAUUCGAUACUGAUCGACUCGAAGGCAGGAGAGGGAAGUGGAAUUCCCGGUGUAGUGGUGAAAUGCGUAGAUAUCGGGAGGAACACCAGUGGCGAAGGCGACUUCCUGGCCUGUUCUUGACGCUGAGGCGCGAAAGCUAGGGGAGCAAACGGG
rnacentral:rRNA from 1 species